rnacentral:lncRNA from 1 species
CGAUUACUCGGCAGAGGAGAAAUCAUCCUGGAUCCAGAUAAAGUGGUGCAGCCUCCAAUAGAAAUGCGUGCAGUCGUUUGGCAGCAGGUUUUACAGCUUGUAGAAAUUGGAAGCAUGCUAUGUACUGCUUCAAGAAACGCGGUUUUAUUCCAGGCUCGCGUCUAGUUCAGCGACAUUGAUGUGGUUGAAGUCGUCUGCUUUUCUUAGCCAGGCCGCAUCCUCCACCUCAGCACCUUCAAACUUAGAAUCUAAUCGAUGAUACAAUUAUCAAUACUGUGAUGAUUAGCAUAUAAAGUCUUCCCUUCCCUGCUUUGAAACAGGAAAAAAUAAGAUUUUAUCAAAAAAUGUUUCUUUCCAACUCAACAAUUUUCUAAAUCUCUAAGAAUUUGCUGGUCUACAACAAUCUAUGUUUUUCCGAACUAACAAGGUUACUCUUUCUGUUUUUUCUACUAGGUCUUCGCUUUAUUUUUCCUCGUUAAACUCGCAACCAUUUGUUAUUUUCCAUCAUCACGCGUUUUUUUUGUGCGACAUUGCUCUGCAGGCAUUUAACCUGAACAUUAACCGCAUCGUUCUCACCAGUUUGUGAGAGCUUCUAAAGUUUAUGGGCACAUACUCUUUUCCCUUGAUGAACCCACACAAAAUAAAGUUCAUACAUUUGGUUUGUAGGAAACUACAAGAGUGAUAACCCCAUCACACACAUUUCUUUCUAACCAGCUGCUCAGUAUUGUACUGUUGUUUGUAAGCGUUGCAAUCCCUUCGCUAUGCACGAAAUGCGAAAAAAGGUACCAUUUAGGAUGAGUAUUUGAAUAUUUACGAAGAAAAUUUUGAUGAAAAAUUGUUGGAAGCCCCCCCCCCAACGCGUGUUUUUUUAAGGUAAAAUGAUAUUCUUUCUCAAGCUCUUUUAUCAACAACCUGUCAUUUCUAAAUUAUGUCCUAUUAUCGAAGAUACUUUAGUCUGCUAAAUUUCCCACAGAUCACAUCCUCCAUCUUUGGAAAAGUAUUCUUCGAGAUAUAAUGUCGGAAUAAAAGACGGGAUGGUCAUAACUAGAACGCUUUGGAGCACAGGUCUGCAGGAAAUACGUUCCCUUGGAACCAAGCAACAAUACACGCUAAAGACACAGUUACUUCCCCUAAUAGAUGUUAACUCUUCCAAAAUAGACUCUUUUUACUCCUAGAUUUUCUGUACAACCCGUUAAUGAGUCUGGCUUCAUUUUUAACCAGAGUUGAAAUAAAUCGAAAAAUCAUUGGCAAUGUUUGGCGUGAAGACUUGUUUGGAGAAGAAAAUGUUUUCCACAAGAGUCGGAGAUAUUGUUUGAGCUUUCAAUAUUCUGUUUAACUUUUAGAUAUAAAUCACGUGAGGGUUCUACAUUUGAUGUUGAACUACAUUACUAUGCAAGUAUUAUUAAUAUAUCCAUCUUUAUUGUACACGCAAUACAUUUAAUUGCUGACGUAUUCAAUUUUUGAAAGAAACCAUUUUACGGAAGCGAGGCUGCUGUUCGAUUAGUUGGGUCUGUAUUAUUGCUAGGUCCAUUCAACAUUGCCAGUGCAGUUGUCCAACACGAUGGCUGAUCAUUGAGUUUUUCGCAAAUCUCUCAAUAUUAUUUCAGGGAGAAGUGAAUAAGAUAUAGAAAAUCGUGAUGUACUUUGGAUAGUAUCCAACUUAAACCCUCAAGUUCUAUACAACUCUUUGCUGAUUACUUUUCAUAGCAUAUUUUGCAAGUUUUCACAAUACUACUUUGUCACAUUUUUGCAAGACCUGCUUUUCAAAACUCUAUUUUCCAUUGUUAAGGUCAGACAUUAAUUGACACUGUGCUCUAGGAGAUUCUUGUGCUAGUAAAAAAAUGGGAGCAUUACCCUUUCACACCUGGGUCUCUAUCAUACAUACCUACAUCAAGGGCAAGACCCCUGACUACUUGAGAGGGAACGUUUAUGUGGUUUCCCAACUUGACUAUCAGCCUGAUCUCCCUCAGGUCUCAACAUCUUGAAAAGAAAGAACAUUGGAUAAUUUGGAAUAUAUGAACUGUGUGUUAUCUAUAUAUCUAGUGAAGCAUGUCUUCCUUGCAAUGAGCACACUCAACACUGCUAAGUUAGAUGUCACUCUUGAUAGACUUUCUAACAAUAUAUUGACCACCUGGAAGGAACCUCAUGAGCUAACGAAAGUACUUCUAAGCUUGACUUGUUUAUGUAACAACUGGAUUUAAAUCUUAUGUCUCCCAACUGUCUUCUGAGCUGUAACCUUGUUGCACAACUGGGAAUACCAACAAUUUGGUUGAGAUGACCAUAGUUGAAACAUCAACCAAAUGAUGAAAUUCAGCAUAGGCUAUCAUACUAGAUACUCUAUUUUCCCUCAGUCUGUGUUGCAACUAGCAAAAACAGAUUCACAUUCGAUGCAGUCUACCAAAAAAUACUGGCUGUUACCAUGAAAAGCCAGCUUUGCCAAGGAUAUGGAGUCCAUGUUGGUUAUCAACACAAAGGAAUAUAACCCAAGAAAUCACAGGUGAACUUAACUGCAUAUCAGAAACAUUGGCCCUGACUCUUCUGUGGACUCAACUUUACACGAAGGUUACAGUCCACUUUAUAUUGUGACCAUAUACAAAAUACAAAGAAAUUGAAUUCAAUGUCUAUCAUCAUAAUGAAUUUAAGUAAGCUCACAACUUCUUUUUCCAGUUCUAUAUAAACAAACCGAUGGCUUGAACUUGGAAUCUUCAACCUUCAUAGUUGUACACCAUCACAUUCCGGUUCAUUCUUCAAUAUUAAGCAUUGGACCAAGAAGAGAUAUUUUCUUUUCAGUAGAAAUAUGGGAUCCUUAAACUUGUGCUGCCACCUGAAUAUAAACUAUCAUCAUCACCCAAACUAUGAUAGUUAAUCUAUCCAUGAAUAUAUGAACUGUUGUGUUUGUAUAAGAUUGUUCACUGAAGCUAUGACCAUGUAUACAAUUACAAACUUUAUAGAAAUCCCUUUUAUCUAGCAGCAUCAUUUAUGUCCCCUUAAAGUGAUCUUUUUUUUUUAUGUCACUUUGGUUCCAGAGUCAAUAAAAGAAAAAAACCCCAAAUGAUAUGAAAUACCUUUUGUUCAGAAGCUAUUUGUCUUAGAACCACUGCUGACAGUUGUACAACAACAGAAGAAAACUGCUUCCAGCAUUUGUAUAAUUAUAGUAUCAGUAAUAUUUAUUCAGAAGAUAGAAACUACUAUCAACAGUUUUACAACUACCAGAAUCUCAAUUUGCAAAACAAGUGAAAAAAUCAGUUAACAAAAAUGACAAUAUAAAUAACAUCUUUUUCCUUCUUGUAAUUUUAUUUAUGCAUGUGUACCAUUAUAUUAUUUUUAUACCAAUUAUUACAUAGUGGUAAAGUCAUUUCACCAGAUGCUGAGCCUACUGACAAAUGAUAAACAGCUGCAACAAGUGGUCACAUUCUAUACAACAGACUUCAUCCAAGCUAUGCAAGCAUGGAAAAAUAUACAUUAUUAUCACUAUAAUGUUGACUGAAGAAAGUAUUAUAAUAUAUUACUAGGAAGUUGUUUCUUGGCAUAAGACUUCUACAGAUAUCUCUCAGAAUACUGCAACAUCUGCCACAUUUGUGUCUAACAUGAAUUGUAAUAUUUAGAUCAAGGAUUGGCAACUGUAUUUUUACAUCUGCAAGGGAGAUUGUGUACCAUCAAGUGAACAGUGGACCAGAUAAAUACUAACAACAAUUUGAAAUAUGGAAAUUAUCCAUUGAAAUAUAUCUAAUUGUAUUUUUCAUCAGAUUAGUUCAUGACACACGCUAGGGAAUCAUGUUUGGUGGUGAAAAAGAAAAUUAUAUAGUUGUAAUGUAAACAGUAGACAGCUGUGAAAUUUGAUGGUGUUUGUUACUUGAAAGUUUUUUUUAAUAUUAGGUGCCAGGCUUGUCAAUGCCUACAGCAAGACAUCCAAGUAGGUAUUAGUCAGUUUGGUUCUCAAAUGGUUUCUGACGUGUUCCCAUUUUUGAAAAUAUAUGCUCAACACAGGUAAGUGUUGCCAAAUAAUGAUUUUUUUUUUUUGUAUGAGUAACUAACUUAGGAUACUUGCCACUUGAAUCUUGGAUGGAUAGAAUUUCUAUAGAAAGACAAAUGCCAAUACAUCUUCAGUAUGAAAUUUAAAUCUCAGAUGUCAUCAUAUUGCCUCUUAAUCAAUUCAAUUUGAUAAUUUUCUGAUACUGUGUCCAAUAUCAGAUGGUGUAGCAGACAUUGAGUGAAAAUUCAGCUAACAAGAAAAAUAUUCUUUCCUUAAUUCUUGGACCAUAUUCAUAAAAAUGCUUGGAUCUUGUACUUUACUUUUUUUUUUUAAAUUGGGGAAAUAUUUCAAUUUGUCUAUUAAAUACAACAAUUUAACCAAACAUCUUAAAAGGCAGGGUUUUUUAAAAAUUCCUUCAUAAAGUUAUUAAAAUUAUCCACAAUAAGUGUCACAAUAAUAUGAAACAUCUUUGCUCUCAAGAAAUAUUACCAUUUCUUCAUUCAAUGAAAAUUCUUUUCCCAUCAAUGACUAUCAGCUUAGCCAAUGUACAUUGAAGAGAAGUAAGCCAGGUCUCCAUAUUCUGCCUCUAUGUCCAACAUAAUGUGUUGAAACAGGUAAUGAUUUAACCAAAAGAUAAAGUUUUGUCAACAAUGUCCACAUAUUGUAACACGUGAUUCUUCUAAUUUCUUGUUAUUGCAAGAAGUCAUAUGACAUACUUGUCAAUGUGAAAACUGUUCUCUUAGCAUGUCUUUUAAUUGCCAAAUCUGAAGGGGGUUUACUACAAGGCAAAAAGUGAAAGGAGUGAUUAGUCAUAAAUAUCCCUUACUAAGCAUAAAAAGGUUGGUAGUCCAGAAUCCAUGCUGCGUUUGUUUCUUAGUCGGGGUCACCAUUUUAUAGGUUGGUGGGUUAUUAGUUAUAGGUUGGUAGUCCAGAAUCCAUGGCCGCGUUUUUUCUUAGUCGGGGUCACCACUUUAUAGGUUGGUAGUCCAGAAUCCAUGGCUGCGUUUUUUCUUAGUCGGGGUCACCACUUUAUAGGAAAGUGUUAAAUAGCUCAGCGGGCUGCGUGUUUGAAUCACGUCGGAGGGU